rnacentral:miRNA from 1 species
AUCAGCUAACUACACUGCCUACA